rnacentral:rRNA from 1 species
ACGGGAGGCAGCAGUGAGGAAUAUUGGUCAAUGGACGGAAGUCUGAACCAGCCAUGCCGCGUGCAGGAAUAAGGCCCUAUGGGUCGUAAACUGCUUUUGUGGUGGAGCAAUAAGUCGUACGUGUACGGCGAUGAGAGUACAUCACGAAUAAGCAUCGGCUAACUCCGUGCCAGCAGCCGCGGUAAUACGAGGGGUGCAAGCGUUGUUCGGAAUCACUGGGCGUAAAGGGAGCGUAGGCGGAGACGCAAGCAGUCUGUACAAUACCGGGGCCCAACCCCGGACCUGCAGACUGGACUGUGUCUCUUGGAUAGUUCAGGGGCAGGCGGAAUUCCUGGUGUAGCGGUGGAAUGCGUAGAGAUCAGGAAGAACACCGAUGGCGAAGGCAGCCUGCUGGGGACUCAUCGACGCUGAGGCUCGAAAGUGCGGGUAGCAAACAGGAUUAGAUACCCUGGUA